rnacentral:lncRNA from 1 species
ACCAGGUCCCGCCCCCAGAGUUUCUGAUUCAGCAGGUCUGGGGUGGGGCCCAAGAAUUUGCAUUUCUAACAAGUUCCCAGGUGCUGCUGGUCCAGAGCCCACCCUUGGAGAACCACUGGGCUAUAGAAUGAUGUCAAGGGCUGGAGAGGGAGGCUACAGAGUGGGUCUAGGUCCAGGUACAGUCUCAGAACCACACUGCAAAACUGGCUUAGUCAGGUAGCUGCUGUAUCUGCUGCUUCCACUGUGAACUCAAAAACCACAUUGCCUGUGCUGCAGGCCGGAAAGCUGCUGAACCAGGAAGCUGUGCUGAUGCUGCUGACUGCCCCUGAGGUUAGAGAUUGACUAGACAUAGUGCCACUGUCAUCCCUGCUGGAGAAGGUCCGAAGCACCUCCACCUCUGUGCUUCCAGAGGGGCACUGUGGUGGCCACUUAAAAUGCUCAGGCUAUACCAUGCACUAGAGCAUCUACCUGGGCAAGGGAUAUGCUGUAUGACACUCUCCUGAUGCUGGGCAUGGCUGUGAGCCAAAGCACCCAGGCAGCCCUGCCAUCAGAAGGGUAAACCACGGACACCUGAUGCCUUCCUGAAGGAAGAGCACUACGCCUGCCAAACCAUCAAGCGUUGAUGCUCCAGCGCCUUCUACCCGUGGUUCUCCAGCCUCAGCAGAAGAGAGAGAAAUUGAUGACCCUGUCGUUGUAGCAUCCCCAUCACCCAGCAAUUAAUUUUAGUUCAAUGCUUCAAACGCUCUUCAGGCGCAGUGUGCGUUCAGCUGUGUCAGCUAAUGCAAAUGGGGGAUCUCAGAAGUCUUAAUGAAGUAACUAUCCCUGAACACUGGGAUCAAUACUCAGCAUCCAGCUGUCAAAUCAACACCAAGCGUUUCACUCGUCGCCCAGCCUAGAGUGCAAUGGCGCUAUUUCGGCUCAUUAUAACCUCCGCCUCCCGGGUUCAAGCAAUUCUUCUGCUUCAGCGUCCCAAGUAGCUGGGAUUACAGGCCUUCAGUUGCAAAGUUCUCCAUUGUCAGAUUACGCUGCCUGAUGGGCAUGAAAAGUCCACAAAAGAGAAUUUUCUGAUGUGAGAAUGGAGGGUGUUGCCUGCAACUACCCCAGAUCCCUGCGGUGGCAGUUUAAGCCGCCUCCUGGAGCAGAUUGUUAAGCUGAUGCGAGUCUGGGCUCUGCCUCACCACUUGUCUCAGAGAAUGUCCAGUGCUAGGAGACUCAUAAGUUGGAGAGAAACGGCCUGAUUUAUAGAAACUGAGCGAGACUCCGGACCACCUGAUGCAGAGAAACCUGUGACCUGAAAAAGUCUAUUUGUGUUUCCUCUAGGAAUCUCGGCCAAGAAGACAGGGACAAGCUCCCAACUCUGACUACCCCUUUUACAGGGAAAAAAAAAAAAUCCCGUGCCUUCUUUGCAGCAAGUGACAAAUCCUUGUCAUAUCGAGAUGGCUUUUCCUCCUCCUCUUCAAACAUCUUUUAGCAGCAACAGCAGCUCAAGUAACUGGAAUUAUUUCAGAGUUAAAAUGCAGGCUUUGUAGACCCUCUUAGACAGACAGAUUCAAUUUCAAAGGAAACUUCUUUGGCUGGGUACUCAGUGAGUGUUACACAGGGAUUUGGGGAGUUAAUAUUCACUGUUUCUGUUGUUGGAGAAAAGGAAAGCAGAGUUGCUCUUUCUCAUUACUCUCCCCAACGCACAUCUGUUUCCUCUCGUAUCUUGGAAUUAGGAAGAUGGAGGAGACUUAAGUGGUGACCCACCUAGCCUCCUGAUGCAUGCUGGGCUCACUUUAAAACUCCCAAAACAGAUGGCAGUUGAUCACGGUUUUAAAGAUCCCAGCAUAGACUUUCUGCAGCCUCCCUUGUUAGCCACUAUCAGCGCUUAACAUUCUGUCAUCUGAAUAACUCCUUAAAAAUGAUAGCAAUGGUAGUAGAAAUUUAAAAGGAACCUCCCAAAAAACAUGCAAAAGCUUACCACCCCAGUAAAUCACCCGCAACAAUGUCGCAACAGUUUAAAUUUACUGCAGAGAGAGCUGAAGUUUAGGAGACACAGCUUUAUAAUAUUUUUGAGAGAUAGUUGAGUGCAAAUGAGUCCUGUUCCUCUUGCAUCAGGGCCUGCUCCACUGAGUCAUCCUGCCUUCAGAAGCUUCCAGCUAAGUGGCAGGCCCCGGCCAUAGGCUCCCUGUGUCCCCAGCCUCCAGAGAACACACAAUGUUCUCAUCGCCCUUAGCUCCAUUCCAGAAGGGGCCUGCAGUUCUGCAGCUUAUCAGGGGUCUACUGGGAAGUGAGAUGUCACUGUCCCUUUCUGGCCCUGCAUUGUCUGUGAGUGGCUCUCCUGGAUUAAGAGUUGGCAAAGUAUGGCCAGUGGCCAGGACUGGCCUGCUGCCUGUUUUUGUUUAACCCGUGAGCUAAGAAUAGUUUUUACCUAUUUUAAGUAGUUGAAAAAAAAAUCAAGAGAAGAAUACUAUUUCGUGAUAUGUGAAAAAUCACAUGAAAUUCAAAUGUAAGUGUCCAUAAAUAAAGUCUUACUGGAAGACAGCCUUGCUCAUUUAUUUCUGUCUCAUUCGCUACUGUCUGCGGCUGCCUUCACGCUACAAUGGCAGUACUGAGUAGUUGUGACGGGCACUGUAUGACAGCAAAUCCUAAAGUAUUUGCCAUCUGGCCCUUCACAGAAAAAGUUUGCUGACCCUGGCUUUCGAGCCUCUCAUCACUUUGGGAUUCAUCUCUUUACUUUCCCCAGAGUGAGGGAGGCAGUAACGUUCCUCGUGAGUGCUUAGUCCUUGCUCCCAAGGCAAUAAACCCCCCAAAACCCCUCUCUUUCUGCAGUCUUCUUGUUGGCUUGAUAGUGGUAGGGCUGGUUCAGCCAAGGUCACAGUUGGAGGGCAGGAAGGGGGUACAGCGAAGGACGACGGGGGUGUCUUCUCUAGUCCUGUUUGCAGCAAUCUUUAGAAUGCAAAAUAAUUAAGAAGAAACUGCUGUUUUUUGGCUGUGGGAUGCAAUUCGAAUUCUGGAAAAUUAGAAUCAACAGAACGUGGGAUGUGGGAGUCCAGGACAACUCCCCUGUUUUGGCUGUGUUUGGUGCCAUGUGUGGAGGUGGGAGAGAUGGGAGAAAGAAGAGGUUUGGGCAGGGGGAGGGAAGAAUCAAGAUUCUGCUUUGAAUGGACGAAGGUUGUGGUUUGUUGAGAGGACAACUAGAUAACUGGCCACUUGAAGAUGGGAUGGAAGUCUGAAUCUGCAAGGAGUCACAGAUGAAUGGUAUGGAAAGCUGUGGUAGUGGAUGAGAUCAUACGAACGGUGGGUGCAGAUGGAAACGAGAAGCCAUCUAAGGACUCGUAAUGGGCUCCUCAACACUUGGAAGUUGGGUAGAGGAAGAAGACCGCAUGAGGGCAGGAUCCUGAAUGUUCCACUCACUGCUAUAUCCCUAGCACUGGUUACAGUGCUUGGCACACACUGCAUGCUCAAUAAAUUAUUUGUUGCCCAUAUAAGUGAACGUGAAUUCCAAUGGACUAGCAUCUUCCACUCUCAACAUAAACAAAAACAACAGCAACAUUGCAAUUCCCUAUCUUCUCUUCCCUGAUCUCUUUCUCAUUCUGUCUCUCCUUCCC